AGCAAAAGGAGGCUGACAAAACAUUUCGGGUGAAGCAAAUAGACUCCUGAGAACCAGAACCGGGCUGUCGUCUUGUGAAACAGUGGAUGUAAAGAAUGUAGCUAGCUAAAGCAUUUACUGCAAAUUGAAUGUACAAUUGUGUUAGCUUGCCUUGAUGACUUGAUCAUUUGAAUACACCAGCAACAGCUGGUGAGGUGUCAGGUUCGCCUCUGUACUUAAAGGGAGAUUAUUCGAACACUCCAAACAUCUCCCCAUAAGCGUUCCACUCUUAAUAACAGAGAAAUAAAAGGUUUUGUGGGGGGAGGAACCUAAUCUCUGGUCCUGUGGUCUUCCUUCAUGAAUAGUGAACACUGAGGUGGGUCUGAGGUUAUAGAAAUGCAAGUUGUGUGUGCCUCUGUGAGUGGUUACUGACUGACGCAGACACCUAUCAGAGUGUGCCUGAAACAUCUAAAUAUAGAGGGCUAUGUGUCUCACCACUUGGUUAUUGCAAGUGGCUUGAUAGUCCAGUGAAAAUGGCUGAGUGUUUAUGUGGUAUAAAUCUGAAAAUUAGCAGCUGACAUCUUAAGGGUUUUUUAAUUAAUGCCUGUGAGACAGGUUCCAUAUACAACAAGACAGGCAGAGAUGGAGAAAAAGAACACAGAACAGUUUAAUUACCUCUGGUUAUGGACACUUUUGCCAGCAAUAAAGCUUCCACGGCCUGUUCCUCGGACAGUGAACAUCUGGCAAUAUCUACAUUUUCGACCCCUUGAUCAGCUCGCACUGUGCAGUAAAGAAAAUAGCUUAUUUAGAUAUGAAAACAAUAACUGAGAUAUGUCCAUUCAAUCUAAAGCGGCAGAUGUCGUGGAUACGUCAAUAAAGAAAGCUUAACACCA